rnacentral:rRNA from 1 species
UACGGAGGGUGCAAGCGUUGCUCGGAAUCAUUGGGCGUAAAGCGUACGCAGGCUGUUCGUUAAGUCGGGUGUGAAAGCCCGGGGCUCAACCCCGGAACUGCGCCCGAAACUGGCGAGCUUGAAUGCGGGAGAGGGAAGCGGAAUUCCUGGUGUAGAGGUGAAAUUCGUAGAUAUCAGGAGGAACACCGGUGGCGAAAGCGGCUUCCUGGCCCGACAUUGACGCUCAUGUACGAAAGCGUGGGGAGCAAACAGG